rnacentral:lncRNA from 14 species
CCCGCUCCGCUCGCAGCCGCAGCAUCAGAAAGGCAACGGGGUCAAACUUUGCCGAAACUCGCCCGUUGCUGCUCCGAGCCCCCCGGCGAGCCCCGCCGGCAGCCGGGGCUGGGACCGCCGCAUGACAGCGGCCCCGAGCCCGCUCCGCUCCCUGCCCGCCCGUCCUCCCUCCUUCGCCCAGUCCCAUCCCUCCCCCUGUAUUUCGUUUUUAAACUGCAGCUGUUGAAGCUAAACCUCCUUUGCAAAAAGCAGCAUUUCCUCCCCCAGCUCCGUGGAUUGUGGGUUUGGCCGAGUAUUUCCUUCAAACUUCCCAGUGAAGUGCACCAUUACUGUCACUAGUCCCACAACAGCUACAAGACCCAAGAACACGCUCAGGUUACAGGCAAUUUACCAUCACGUAGUACAAGAAAGAAUGGAAUGAACAUCUCCAAGUGCAAUAUCCAGUUGCAUCAGCAGCCUCCAGAAGGUGUUGAAAUCCUUUGACAUUUCCAAGACUCUUUCACACUUUUCAAACAAGCUUGUCACACUUUCUCAGAGCAUCAUGAAUCUGGUGAAACUGCGUCUUCGGCACCUCCAGUUUCAUGAAGCUUCAGACAGGUUUUGCUUCAACUUGGCUGUCUCUGGUAUUCUGGUCAAUGAGGAAAUUACAUUAUCCCAUCCUAAUUAAAUCAGCUUUUUAACUGCAGGUGGAGUUUUCUCUGGGUAUUGUAGUGCCCGUCCCCAUUACACUGCUGGGAGUGAUGAGUGUGGCUGCGCUGAGCCCUGUGCUGAACCACUCCUGUGCCCGAGAUCAUGCUGCUCACUGAUGGGAUGGUUGGAGAGGUGAGGCCAAGCUGCGAUAAGCAUGAAUUAGGAGUGUCUGGUGAUGCUGUGUUGUGUUUCCUUCUGCUCCUCCUUUGAUGAACCUGCCCAUGUCUCAUUGCAGCAUGGCCGUGCUC